rnacentral:other from 15 species
UUUACAUUUGCAAACUUUGGGAGACAUGUUUUUUUUUUUUUAUUUCCCGUGCUCCCUGUUCUCCUGAGAGUCCGCUGCGCCGCCCAGCCUGUCGCCCCCGGAGGUGAGCCCUCCCUCCUGCCUGCUGCCAGCUGACCUGUGCCCGGCUCGCGGGCAGCAGCCUCUGCCCGGCGAGCCCCCGGCAGCUGUCGGCGCGAUG